rnacentral:rRNA from 1 species
CUUCGGGCGUGAAUUAGCGGCGAACGGGUGAGGAACACGUGAGGAAUCUGCCUUCAACGCUGGGAUAACUCCGGGAAACCGGGGCUAAUACCGGAUACGAGCCUUGGUCGCAUGAUCGGGGCUGGAAAGUUUUUCGGUUGAAGAUGACCUCGCGGCCUAUCAGCUUGUUGGUGAGGUAAUGGCUCACCAAGGCGACGACGGGUAGCCGGCCUGAGAGGGCGACCGGCCACACUGGGACUGAGACACGGCCCAGACUCCUACGGGAGGCAGCAGUGGGGAAUAUUGGGCAAUGGAGGAAACUCUGACCCAGCGACGCCGCGUGCGGGAUGAAGGCCUUCGGGUUGUAAACCGCUUUCAGUAGGGAAGAAGCGAAAGUGACGGUACCUACAGAAGAAGCACCGGCUAACUAUGUGCCA